AACCCUAAGUUCCUAAUGAUCUCUCUCCAACUCUCCCUCUCUCGUUCUCUGUCUCCCAUCAAAACCUCCACCCACCCCGCCCUCCUUCUCUUCUCCGGCGUCGUCGGCCGCGGUGCCUGGAUCCAGCGAAGCCGUGCCUCUAUUUCUCCUCAUAUCUCAACAGAUUUUCACCUCUCUCCUUCUCAUCCCUCAAUUCCUCAGUUCGUGCCCUAGAUCUUCUUCCAAAAUGUUGUCACCUCAAGGAUCUCCGCCACGAUUAGCUCCGGCGAGGCUGGCUGCCGCCGCCUCUGAAAUUGGCGAGGCAAUCGUCAUCCCCUGUUCUCACCGAUGGAGGCGAGGCGGUGCUUUGUCCUUGGCCUCGACCGAUGAUUAUAGCAGUCAAUGUCGCGCCUCUCUCUCUCUCUCUCUCCCGUCGUCCUUCUCGGUCUUCAGCACCCCAAAUCCUAAACCCUAGGUUGUCGCAGGCGGCCUAUCAUCGAAGCCUCUCAGGAAAUCCAACUUUCCCUUCACGACCUAUCUCGCGCUCCUCUCUUUUUUCCCCAAAUCUAGAAACCUAGGUCAUUUGUCGCCACCGCCACCGCCUCCAUCGGUAGUCGCCCCCCUCGCACUGAAAUACUCAAAUUUUGAAGGCGGAGGCCCUCUCUCUCUCAGAUAAUAUGCACAAAUUGGGUUCCUGAACUCUGCACAAUUCUCUCCUUAUCUAUCUCCACUCUCCAACUCCAGUUGAGACUGUAUUCCAUGAAUUUGGCCAUGCUCUUCAGCAUAUGCUGAAGAGGCAGGAUGAGGGUUUUGCUGGUAUAAGGAAUGUAGAGUGGGAUGCCGUGGAAACAAGGCAGGAUGAGGUUCUUGUUUAUUGGAAUGCAUAUAGACUGCUGGAAUUUGGAAUAAUCUUUCUAUAAUUGCUUUGAUUUGCAGUUUUGGGAGGAUGGCAAGAUCUUUAGCUAAUUUUCUUUACAAAGGCAUUGCUGCAUUUUCAGCUGCUAGUUCAACUAUUGGUUAAAUAGGAAGCAUGAUCAGCUUCAGUAUUCUUAUUGCAUGAGCGAAAAUUGACAUUGUUGAGCAGGUAAGACUCUGAUGAUUGGUAUGCGCGGUGCUUCUCAGGUCUAUUGACUAAGAAAUUUAUCGCUUUGAUAAAGCAUGCAAAGGAUGGUGAACUUGAUCUAAACAAGCUGGCUGACACUUUGCAGGGAAUAGCAAGGUUGGACGUGUUAUAUUAGCUGCUGCUGCUAAGCAUCUUACACCUGUGAUUUUGGAGCUUGGUGGGAAAUGUCCAGUAAUCGUUGAUUCAAAUAUCAACUUAACAGUUGCGGCAAGAAGAAUAAUCUCAGGCAAGUGGGGAUGCAACAGUGGACAAACCUGUGUUUCACCUGAUUAUAUAAUAACUACAAAGGACUAUGCGUCAAAAUUUGUUGAUGCUCUUUCAUCUGAACUAGAAAAAUUCUAUGGAAAGGAUCCUGUGAAUUCAAAGGACUUGUCAAAAAUUAUAAAUUCCCGACAUUUUGAACGUCUAACAAAGCUUUUGGAUGAAGAGAAGGUUUCCAGUAAAAUAGUUAUUGGUGGUCAACGGGAUAAAGCCAAUCUCAAGAUCACUCCCACUGUUAUACUGGAUGCCCCACAAGAUUCUCUGAUCUUGAAUGAGGAGAUUUUUGGUCCUUUACUUCCCAUUAUCACGUUGUAUAUUUCUCAACCCCAACCGGACUCAGCUUCAGGAGGUACUCUUCACUCUGCCGUCGCGAGCAGAUUAACAUUUAUAUAGUUGAAGGACAAGAUACAAGAUUAUAGAGCUUAUAGAGAGGUGCUGGUUUUAGAAGGCAACGGAAGCCCUAGUUUUUUUUUUUUUUUUAGUUGGGCUCAAAACAUUAUGUAUGAAUGUUUUGUGAUAUAUAUAAUAUAUGUUAUUGAUGGUUUUAUCAUUUUGUUGUUUUAA